rnacentral:rRNA from 1 species
AUUGAACGCUGGCGGCAUGCUUUACACAUGCAAGUCGGACGAGUGGCGAACGGGUGAGUAAUAUAUUGGAACGUACCUAGUAGUGGGGGAUAACCAAUCGAAAGAUUGGCUAAUACCGCAUAUUAUUCGAGCGGCCCAUAUCUGAUUAGCUAGUUGGUGGGGUAAAGGCCUACCAAGGCGACGAUCAGUAGCGGGUCUGAGAGGAUGAUCGGCCACACUGGGACGGAGACACGGCCCAGAUUCCGACGGGAGGCAGCAGUGGGGAAUUUUGGACAAUGGGCGCAAGCCUGAUCCAGCCAUGCCGCGUGUCUGAAGAAGGCCUUCGGGUUGUAAAGGACUUUUGGCAGGGAAGCGGUACCCACAGAAUAAGCACCGGCUAACUACGUGCCAGCCGCCGCGGUAAUUC